AAGAUCCAGUUUCUGGACUAAUUGUACGAACUCAGAGCCGAAUGUCUUAAAAAUCCUGCACAGAAGAAUGCAUGAGUCUCCAUGUGGAAGUCAAGAACAGGUCAGGAUCUCUGAGCUUCAGAAGACUGAAACCAAC